GCCCUAGCGGCGAACGGGUGAGUAACACGUGGGCAACCUGCCCUCAGCUCUGGGAUAACUCCAAGAAAUUGGUGCUAAUACCGGAUGUGACCGCUGACCGCAUGGUCUGGUGGUGGAAAGAUUCAUCGGCUGAGGAUGGGCCCGCGGCCUAUCAGCUUGUUGGUGGGGUAAUGGCCUACCAAGGCGACGACGGGUAGCCGGCCUGAGAGGGUGACCGGCCACACUGGGACUGAGACACGGCCCAGACUCCUACGGGAGGCAGCAGUGGGGAAUAUUGCGCAAUGGGCGAAAGCCUGACGCAGCGACGCCGCGUGAGGGAUGACGGCCUUCGGGUUGUAAACCUCUUUCAGUAGGGACGAAGCGCAAGUGACGGUACCUACAGAAGAAGCACCGGCCAACUACGUGCCAGCAGCCGCGGUAAUACGUAGGGUGCAAGCGUUGUCCGGAAUUAUUGGGCGUAAAGAGCUCGUAGGCGGUCUGUCACGUCGGCUGUGAAAACCCGAGGCUCAACCUCGGGCCUG
rnacentral:rRNA from 1 species